UGCCAGCAGCCGCGGUAACACGGGAGGCGCAAGCGUUAUUCGGAAUUAUUGGGCGUAAAGGGCGCGCAGGCGGUCUUGUCCGUCAGGUGUGAAAUCCCAGGGCUCAACCCUGGAACUGCCCUUAAUACUGACGAGCUUGAGACCGAGAGGGGGUGGUGGAACUCCCAGUGUAGAGGUGAAAUUCGUAGAUAUUGGGAAGAACACCGGUGGCGAAGGCGACCACCUGGCUCGGAUCUGACGCUGAGGUGCGAAAGCGUGGGGAGCAAACAGGAUUAGAUA
rnacentral:rRNA from 1 species